rnacentral:rRNA from 1 species
AUGAAUAUGUUCCAAAAAAAAUACUAUGCCUUAGUGCAAAAUAUUAAGUUGAUAAGGAAGUUCAACUGGAAUGCAUUCACUUCACCCUUUUGCAAGUACGUUCUAUUUAUUAAUUUCAACACUUUUGUUAUAAAAUGUCACGGAAGAACAUGUAAUUUAAUUAGUUUAUGUGUUUUGCAGUACCUAUACUGGGAGAAGGUGCAACCAAUCACCGGUCCAAAAUAUGAUCCGUUGGCAUUGUUGAGCCCGCUGAUGAGGAACUGGACGAAAGAUAUGGCUGUGAGAAGAGACAAAUACGACUAUGAAUAUGGUCGUGGUGUUGGGAUGAUCGAUGACAACAUUACAGAGGAGUAUAGGCUGGAAAAAAUUGCGGAAGAAGAAGCUCAAAAAACCAAGAAAGCUAGUAGCAAAAAAUCUAACGUUACUGGAACGAGGAACGAGGGCAGUACCUCGGAGGCUUCGAGCCAGAAGCCUACUAUGGACCGGAUUUUGAGUGAGAUGAAUGAGCUUCCGAAGGAAAUGCUUCGUUUGCCAGAGUUAUGCGCACAGAGGAUGAUUGAGAAACUGAACAAAACCGGCGUCUCCUACAAACCCAGUAACCUGGAAGAGUGA